rnacentral:rRNA from 1 species
UACAGAGGGGGCAAGCGUUAUUCGGAAUUAUUGGGCGUAAAGGGUGCGUAGGCGGCUUUGCAAGUGGUGGGUGAAAUCUCUCGGCUUAACUGAGGAACUGCCUGUCAAACUGCAUGGCUUGAGUCCGGGAGAGGUGAGUGGAAUUCCCAGUGUAGUGGUGAAAUGCGUAGAUAUUGGGAGGAACACCAGUGGCGAAGGCGGCUCACUGGACCGGUACUGACGCUGAUGCGCGAAGGCCAGGGGAGCAAACGGG